UACGGGGGGUGCGCGCGUUGUCCGGAAUCACUGGGCGUAAAGGGCGCGUAGGUGGUCUGAUAAGGGUGUGGUGAAAGCCCGGGGCUCAACCCCGGGUCGGCCGUGCCGACUGUCAGACUAGAGUGCUGUAGGGGCAGGCGGAAUUCCGGGUGUAGCGGUGGAAUGCGUAGAGAUCCGGAGGAAGACCGGUGGCGAAGGCGGCCUGCUGGGCAGUAGCUGACGCUGAGGCGCGACAGCGUGGGGAGCAAACAGG
rnacentral:rRNA from 1 species